rnacentral:lncRNA from 1 species
CCUGAAUUGGUAAUUUUGAGGAAAUCUUGCUGUUUUUGGUUAUUAUCUUGAAUAUUAUUAUAGAUAGAGAUAAACUGUAAACAUCAAUAAUGUUCAGCAAAGUUAGACUUACAAAUAAGUCAACAUGACCGAAAUGGUCAGUUGACCCCUUUAGGAGUUAUUGCCCUUUAUAGUCAAUUUUUAACCAUUUUUCAUAAAUCUAAGUAAUCUUUUACAAAAAUCUCCACUGAAACUACUAGGCCACAAUCAUCUUUGGGGUAUCUGUUUGAAAAAUGUGUCCGAUGACCUGGCCAUUCAACCAAGAUGGCCGUCACGGCUAAAAAUAGAACAUAGGGGUAAAAUGCAGUUUUUGGAUUAUAACUAUGAAACCAAAGCAUUUAGAGCAAAUCUGACAAGAAGUAAAAUUGUUAAUCAAGUCAAUAUCUAUCUGCCC